GAUGAACGCUGGCGGCGUGCCUAACACAUGCAAGUCGAGCGAACCUUUCGGGGUGAGCGGCGGACGGGUGAGUAACGCGUGGGUAACCUGCCCUAUACACACGGAUAACGUACCGAAAGGUACGCUAAUACGGGAUAAAGUUGUUGGAUGGCAUCUUCUAACAAUCAAAGCUCCGGCGGUAUAGGAUGGACCCGCGUCUGAUUAGCUAGUUGGUGAGGUAAUGGCUCACCAAGGCGACGAUCAGUAGCCGACCUGAGAGGGUGAUCGGCCACACUGGAACUGAGACACGGUCCAGACUCCUACGGGAGGCAGCAGUGGGGAAUAUUGCACAAUGGGCGAAAGCCUGAUGCAGCAACGCCGCGUGAGCGAUGAAGGUCUUCGGAUCGUAAAGCUCUGUCCUCAAGUAAGAUAAUGACGUUACCUGAAGAAGAAGCACCGGCUAACUACGUGCCAGCCGCCGCUGUAA
rnacentral:rRNA from 1 species